rnacentral:tRNA from 1 species
GGGCCUGUAGCUCAGCUGGUAGAGCGCCUCUAUGGCAUAGAGGAGGUUCAGGGGUUCGAGCCCCCUCAGGUCCACCA